rnacentral:lncRNA from 1 species
GUGAAAGAGUAACUUUAUGUUGGUUUCACAUUUCACUCCUAGAGUUGUCAAUACAUUGAUUAAAAUAGCUCUCGAACGGGAUUGAAAUCAAUAGAACUAUUGAACCAUUUCUCGGUCGGUUGGUCGGUUGGUCGGUCUGUCUGUACUUCACUCCUUCUUUUCGAAUGAACACUUGCAACUCUCAUUCUUUCACUCUUUAUCUUCGUCAACUCCGAACUUAGUGGUACCUGAAAAAUGCACUACGACACUCAAGUCAAACUUCAACACUUGACACUCAGCAUUUAGUACUAGAUGAUAACACACCUGAUCCUUUGGGAUCUGUGCUUAUUUAUAUAAUUAUUGUGGAUCUUUCAUCAUUAUUGUGCCUAA